ACACGCAUGACACACUGCAUAUCAAUAAGCGGAGGAAAAGAAACUAACAAGGAUUCCCUUAGUAACGGCGAGUGAAGCGGGAAGAGCUCAAAUUUGAAAUCUUCAAGGUUUUACCUUGACGAAUUGUAGUUUAAAGAAGUGUUUUUUCUGUUAGAGAGGUGGUAAAAGUUCUUUGGAAUAGGACAUCAUAGAGGGUGAGAAUCCCGUAUUUGGUCAUUCCUCCUAGCGUUGUGAUACACUUUCAACGAGUCGGAUUGUUUGGGAAUGCAGUCCAAAAUGGGUGGUAAAUUUCAUCUAAAGCUAAAUAUUGGCGAGAGACCGAUAGCGAACAAGUACCGUGAGGGAAAGAUGAAAAGAACUUUGAAAAGAGAGUUAAACAGUACGUGAAAUUGUCAAAAGGGAAGCGUUUGACACCAGUGUUGUUUUUCCGAAAAUCAAUUACGAAUGUUUUAUUUUUGAGGAGUUAUGACUUCAUCGGCUUGCUCCUUUCUUUAUGAAACUUUCUUAAUGCACUUUUCGGUUAACAAGUCAACAUCAAUUUCUUUUGUUGUAAAAGGGUAUGAGGAAGGUGGCUUUCUUUUCGGAGAAAGUGUUUAUAGCCUUGUGCCUCUGCAAUCGGAGAGAUUGAGGUCUGCAGCGUAGAUCCUUCGGGGCUAGAUACGUUUGUGCUAAGUUAUAGCUUUUCAUAGACAACUUGUUGACUAUGUUUAGUCAUUGUAGCUUACUCGUCAGUGCGCUAUUUUACCUACGCUUAGGAUGUUGAGCGCAUGUCUCUCUCU
rnacentral:rRNA from 1 species